UUUGAAAAGGCAAAAAUAUGUAAAAUAUUAGAAAUUCAUAAAUGCGUUGCUAGAAAUGCAAUAAGCUUUGAACGCGCACACACAGUUGUAUGUAUACAAGCAGCAAGCAGUCAGUCAACGAGGCACUCAGGCGGUCUGCGAGGCACUCAAGUAUGCACAAAGAUGGUGGCGGAAAACUAUGCUCAUGCAGUAUCAAAUGAAUUCCAUAUGAAAAAUUGUAAAGCUUUUUGUUAGAUGAUUGCGCUCAGUGGAAUACAUACGUACAUAUAAAUAUUUAGAGAAAACAGUAUUUGUGCUGAAAACUAUUCACGCAUGAGCAUUUUAAAUUGUUAUUGGAAAAGGGCUUAGACCGAUUUGAUCUGGUUAAACAAUGCUUCUAAAAAUAUGGAAUAUACUAAAAUGCUGCGGUAAA